GGGGAUGUGGCUCAGUGGUAGAGCGCCCGCUUUGCAUUAGCUUGCUUGCAUUAGCUUGCUUGCUUGCUUGCACAACGACUUACUUUGUCUGCGGGAGGCCCAGGGUUCGAGUACGUUUGAAUCCCUU